rnacentral:rRNA from 1 species
AACGAACGCUGGCGGCAUGCCUAACACAUGCAAGUCGAACGAGACCUUCGGGUCUAGUGGCGCACGGGUGCGUAACGCGUGGGAACCUGCCCUUAGGUUCGGAAUAACUCCCCGAAAGGGGUGCUAAUACCGGAUAAUGUCUUCGGACCAAAGAUUUAUCGCCUUUGGAUGGGCCCGCGUUGGAUUAGCUAGUUGGUAGGGUAAAAGCCUACCAAGGCGACGAUCCAUAGCUGGUCUGAGAGGAUGAUCAGCCACACUGGGACUGAGACACGGCCCAGACUCCUACGGGAGGCAGCAGUGGGUAAUAUUGGACAAUGGGCGAAAGCCUGAUCCAGCAAGGCCGCGUGAGUGAUGAAGUCCUUAGGGUUGUAAAGCUCUUUUACCCGUGAUGAUAAUGACAGUACCGGGAGAAUAAGCUCCGGCUAACUCCGUG